AGCCUCUCAAGAUGGUACCUGGAUAGUUUCCAGUAAUUUACCAGCCUCGGCUACAGGAGGGAGAGUCAAGCAGAGGUAUAUCCAUUCCAUUCCUACCUUGGGCAGUGGCUAGCGAGUGGAAGGCAAUCUGCUACAAGU